ACACAUGCAAGUCGAGGGGCAGCGGGAUUGAAGCUUGCUUCAAUUGCCGGCGACCGGCGCACGGGUGAGUAACGCGUAUCCAACCUUCCGUACACUCAGGGAUAGCCUUUCGAAAGAAAGAUUAAUACCUGAUGGUAUGAUGAGAUUGCAUGAUAGCAUCAUUAAAGAUUUAUCGGUGUACGAUGGGGAUGCGUUCCAUUAGGUAGUAGGCGGGGUAACGGCCCACCUAGCCUACGAUGGAUAGGGGUUCUGAGAGGAAGGUCCCCCACAUUGGAACUGAGACACGGUCCAAACUCCUACGGGAGGCAGCAGUGAGGAAUAUUGGUCAAUGGACGAGAGUCUGAACCAGCCAAGUAGCGUGAAGGAUGAAGGUCUUACGGAUUGUAAACUUCUUUUAUAAGGGAAUAAACCCUCCCACGUGUGGGAGCUUGUAUGUACCUUAUGAAUAAGCAUCGGCUAACUCCGUGCCAGCAGCCGCGGUAAUACGGAGGAUGCGAGCGUUAUCCGGAUUUAUUGGGUUUAAAGGGAGCGC
rnacentral:rRNA from 1 species